GUUUCCGUGAAUCAAGUUGGUCCUUUUGGACCUUAAAAUGUGCCCCGACGUCUGCAUUAGCGAAUACGUUGGCCUAGAUCGGUUUCCCGCCCGUUUCAAGGGUGAAAACCACCCGAAUUCGCAUUCCCCUCCUGCAAAGUCGCGAAUUCAAUGUGCGCUUGCCUCUGACGUAAGUGGUCUCUCUCUAUCUCUGUCUGUACAAUACAAAUCACAUAUUACCGAUUUUAAGUGAUUCUCGGUUGGUUACUAUGCGAUAAUAUGCGAAGUCGGCCAAGACAAGAAAACACUCGGCAGUCAAUGUGAAACCGGCUCGCGAAUGUGAUGUGCUUCAUGCGCUAAGUGCGAACUUUUGACCGGAUGGAUUAUGAGGCGUAGUUGGAGUACAAUGGUCGGUCGCCUCCCAGUACAUUCCAAUCGCCUUACUAAGCCAUGAAGUCAUACAACACAAUUCAGCUAAAACCGUUUAUGAUUCAAUUCCAGUUUUAUAAUAUACAGCUGCCAUUGCCAUCGCUCACCUGCCGAAAGAGCUCAGAGGGACCGCUUUUACGGGCUCGUGCUGUGCAGUAGAAUUUAAAACCGGAACUUGUAAUUUUAAAGGUUAACGAGUGUUGUCGUGGGAAAGAAACUCUGAAUUGAGCAGCUGACAAUUGGUAGCAAAUUCGUCUGGAGCACGAGCUUCCACUUUCACGUCUGGGGCUAUUCUGUCUUUAAAGUUCGAAUGUUGCGGAUUUCAAUUGUUAGUUACCCUCAACGGUCCAAAUAGUUUUUUUAAUCAACGUCCAACAUCCUUCCGGUUCUGAAAAGACGUCCUAAUGAAGUCGUCAACUUCCGUUGGGUGAAGACAGUCAACAAUAAGACGUAUUUUAUGGCAAGUUGGAUGAGGACAUCUGCCUAUACGAAAAUCAGUACUCAACUCUAACGCAAUCAUUGGCCAGAAGCUCCACUUAAACGAAA
rnacentral:lncRNA from 1 species